UACGUAGGUGGCAAGCGUUAUCCGGAAUUAUUGGGCGUAAAGAGCGCGCAGGUGGUUGAUUAAGUCUGAUGUGAAAGCCCACGGCUUAACCGUGGAAGGUCAUUGGAAACUGGUCGACUUGAGUGCAGAAGAGGGAAGUGGAAUUCCAUGUGUAGCGGUGAAAUGCGUAGAGAUAUGGAGGAACACCAGUGGCGAAGGCGGCUUCCUGGUCUGUAACUGACACUGAGGCGCGAAAGCGUGGGGAGCAAACAGGAUUAGAUA
rnacentral:rRNA from 1 species